rnacentral:rRNA from 1 species
UUAUAAGAGACAGCAGCCGCCGCGGGAAUACAGAGGGUGCGAGCGUUAAUCGGAUUUACUGGGCGUAAAGCGUGCGUAGGCGGCUUUUUAAGUCGGAUGUGAAAUCCCUGAGCUUAACUUAGGAAUUGCAUUCGAUACUGGGAAGCUAGAGUAUGGGAGAGGAUGGUAGAAUUCCAGGUGUAGCGGUGAAAUGCGUAGAGAUCUGGAGGAAUACCGAUGGCGAAGGCAGCCAUCUGGCCUAAUACUGACGCUGAGGUACGAAAGCAUGGGGAGCAAACAGGAUUAGAUACCCGUGUAGUCCCUGUCUCUUAUAC